rnacentral:rRNA from 1 species
UACGUAGGUGGCAAGCGUUGUCCGGAAUUAUUGGGCGUAAAGCGCGCGCAGGCGGUCCUUUAAGUCUGAUGUGAAAGCCCACGGCUCAACCGUGGAGGGUCAUUGGAAACUGGGGGACUUGAGUGCAGAAGAGGAAAGCGGAAUUCCACGUGUAGCGGUGAAAUGCGUAGAGAUGUGGAGGAACACCAGUGGCGAAGGCGGCUUUCUGGUCUGUAACUGACGCUGAGGCGCGAAAGCGUGGGGAGCGAACAGG